CGUCAAAUCAUCAUGCCCCUUAUGACUUGGGCUACACACGUACUACAAUGGCUGGUACAACGGGAAGCGAAGCCGCGAGGUGGAGCCAAUCCUAAAAAGCCAGUCUCAGUUCGGAUUGCAGGCUGCAACUCGCCUGCAUGAAGUCGGAAUUGCUAGUAAUCGCGGAUCAGCAUGCCGCGGUGAAUACGUUCCCGGGUCUU
rnacentral:rRNA from 1 species